UUAUCCGCUAUACGCAAAUUUAUUGUAAAUUUAUAUGGCCGUGGCAUAUAUUAUCACAAUGCUCGUUACAUUUCUUGUCUUACUUGUUGACAAAGAAUAAACGCUGCAGAAAUAAUGGAAUACUGGAGCUCGAAUCUACCCUUUUUAUUGAAUUAAGAACGGUUAUUUCAACUUUUAGUAAACCUAUCAGGUAAGUUUACUAAGAAGUUAGAACAAUCGGCCCCUUAAACAACAAACCAACAUACAGUUCUGUAGUGCAAUCAACGUUCAAUAAACUUUGGUUUAGCAGAAAAAUAAAUAGCAAAACAUUCACUUCUCGUAUCAAAGACUAAGCCAUUGGAAAUCUAUUUUAUCUGGAAUACAAAGUUAAUAAGUAUUUAGAAAUACGAAGCAAGGAACUAGGUCAUUUUAUUGUCAAAAAUAAAAGUAAAAACACACCGUUUGGAAACUACUGAAAAUAUUCAUAGGAAGUAGUGAAUCUGUCUGAACGACUUAACAUGGUUGACGAAAAAGAGUUUUUUAGGGAACACUCCAGCAGUGGAAAAUACCAGAAAAAAUGCUAUGUUUUAAUGCAUAUACGCCAUCUCGAGGAUGACAGAAAUCACACAAUAGAAUUUAUGAAAACACAUGAAAGAGAGAAGAACAAAAAAACAGAAUAAAAAAGAAAUUACCAUUCCGCGUUUCAGUGCCUGAUCAAAAAGAGCCGAUUUAGCAUGGCGAGGAAAAUUUUGAAGAAACGCGAAGCGGAACGCGUUGACGCCGGGUAACUGGAGGCGGCAAGGAUGCUCAAGCAUCUAAAAAGUUAAAACGUACGGACGCUUUGAAUGAAUCAACAGACAUAGGAAAUGAAAUUAAAGUACCGGACGAGAAAGAUUUCCGCGAUAAUGCAAAGAAAUCGCCGAGGACAAAGAGAUAAAUCAAGCAUUUGCUGUAAAUCGCAUAAUUUUAUAUCUAAUCAUUGAUAACUUAUCACAAUAAUCCCCAAAUUUAUCACGGGUUUAUCUACAAAAGAAAUCGAUAAUAACUUUGCGAACAUAUUUGAGCACACUGUGAUAGUCCUCCAUUAGACGUCAACCAAGGCACAAGAACAAUGCAAAGGCAAAAUCUUUUCGCCGUUACCAUAUUUGUGGUGGUCAUAUUCUCUACACUACAUUCAAGCAAGGCAUUGACAUGUUAUGGUUCGUUGCCAAAUGCAUCAUAUACACCGAUAUUGUGUGAAUACCCUCUGGAUGGAUCAUGUGUUAAAUUUACAAAUAAGCUAACUACCGAUUUACGUGGAUGUGCUAUUAAAGAUUUCUGUGAAACGCAAAAGUCAGUCUACAAGUUCAGCAGUUGUUAUGAAUGCCAUACUGAUCUAUGCAAUGCUUCCGCCAAAAAUAUGGUGUCAGCUAUCACAAUAAUAACUUCAGGAUUACUUGCUCUGUUCUGGUCAAUUCAAUAAUUUUUAUAAAUUUUCUUUAUGAUUUAAUCUUGAAUUUAAUUUAAUGCAGCUUGUUACAUCACAAUCUUCUUAAUGACAGAUCAUAAUCUGUUAAUGUAAUGUUCAAAUAAUGUUAUUAAAGUAUUUAAUUCUGUUUAA